rnacentral:lncRNA from 1 species
UUUUUUUUUUUUUUUGCCUGCCCCAUGGCAUAUGGAGUUCCCAGCCAGGGAUCAGAACCGAGUUACAGUCAUGACCUACACUGCAGUUGCAACAAUGCCAGAUCCUGAACCCACUGUGCCAAGCCAGGAAUCAAACCUGAGUCCCAGCCCCAAAGAGACACUGAUGAUCCCAUUGCGCCACAGCAGGAACUCCCCAUAAUAAUACAUUCUGAUAGUCCUUAUUACACAUUUUAGUUGCUCAUCUGAAUUUCAUAACUGAUGCAAUCACUUGUGAGAUGUUGAUGCUUCACCAAAAUUUCCUAUCACUCCUCAUUCAAAGUGCUGGCAUUUUGUGAGAUGGGUGUUAGCUUUAUCACCGCUUCACAGGCAAAGAUAUUGAAGCACCAAGUGUUAAGAUUAUUCCCAAGACCCCACACCUGAUAUGUGGUUCAGGGAAGAACCUCUCCAUUCUGUCUUCCCCAUUCUUAGAAAAAUGUUAUCAGGUUAUCGGCUACCCAAGGAGGAGCAAGAGUUACCCCAGAAGGAGGAAUGAGGGACCCAAGAGACUAUUUCCCCUGCUUCUCAGUUUUGUCUAAUUUCACGUGAGAAAAAUAAUUGCAAGAAAGGCUGGAGAUAAGAGAGGAAGGUGGAGAUGGGGUGAGGUGUGGUACCUGGCUGGGAACGAUGCUACAAGCUAAAAUAAGAGUGAAAUGGAAGCUCUGAACUGUGAGGAGACCCUGUCAACUUGACGGGUAGAAAAGUCUUUAAAAGAUAAGGGAGGGGAGUUCCCGUCGUGGCUCAUGGUUAAUGAAUCUGCCUAGGAACCAUGAGGUUGCAGGUUUGAUCCCUGGCCUUGCUCGGUAGGUGAAGGAUCCGGCGUUGCUGUGAGCUGUGGUGUAGGUCACAGAUGCGGCUUGGAUCCCGAGUUGCUGUGGCUCUGGUGUAGGCCGUGACAUAGUUACAUUUUCAUUACCAAGUUGAUGAUGUCAUUUAAUGGAAUUUUUCAAACUUAUUAAUUAAAAUUCAUCUUUAAGGAAAUUUUCUCUAACAGUAUUUAGUUUGUUACUGUGUAUGUAUAUUGAUAAUUCUCAGGAAUUUAUUAUGUAUGAAACACACCUCUUUAUUUCAUAGGUCUUGAGCAAAUUUGAGGACUGAGUAAUGGUAGAUACAAAACAUCAUGCGCUCACUAUUUCAUUUGUUCAUCUUUGUAUUCUACC